rnacentral:rRNA from 1 species
GACGAACGCUGGCGGCGUGGAUUAGGCAUGCAAGUCGAACGGUAUCAUCCUUUCGGGGGUGAGAGAGUGGCGAACUGGUGAGUAACACGUAGGUUAUCUACCCUCAAGACGGGGACAACCCAGGGAAACUUGGGCUAAUACCGGAUGUGAGCAACUUUUAGUUGUUUGAAAGGUGGCGUAAGCUGUCGCUUGGGGAUGAGCCUGCGUCCUAUUAGUUAGUUGGUGAGGUAACGGCUCACCUAGGCAAUGAUAGGUAGGCGGCCUUAACGGGUGGUCGCCCACACUGGGAUUGAGAUACGGCCCAGACUCCUACGGGAGGCAGCAGUCGAGAAUAGUCUACAUGGUCGGAAGACUGAUAGUGCGACGCCGCGUGAACGAUGAAUCCCUUCGGGGUGUAAAGUUCUUUUAUAUGUGAGCAGUGCUUCUUAUAUUAACAGUAUGGGGAGAGAGAUAUUAGCAUAUGAAUAAGCAACGGCUAACUCCGUGCCAGCAGCCGCGGUAAACUCGU